rnacentral:rRNA from 1 species
AACGAACGCUGGCGGCAUGCCUAACACAUGCAAGUCGAACGAGACCUUCGGGUCUAGUGGCGCACGGGUGCGUAACGCGUGGGAACCUGCCCUUAGGUUCGGAAUAACUCCCCGAAAGGGGUGCUAAUACCGGAUAAUGUCUUCGGACCAAAGAUUUAUCGCCUUUGGAUGGGCCCGCGUUGGAUUAGCUAGUUGGUAGGGUAAAAGCCUACCAAGGCGACGAUCCAUAGCUGGUCUGAGAGGAUGAUCAGCCACACUGGGACUGAGACACGGCCCAGACUCCUACGGGAGGCAGCAGUGGGGAAUAUUGGACAAUGGGCGAAAGCCUGAUCCAGCAAUGCCGCGUGAGUGAUGAAGGCCUUAGGGUUGUAAAGCUCUUUUACCCGGGAUGAUAAUGACAGUACCGGGGAAUAAGCUCCGGCUAACUCCGUG